rnacentral:lncRNA from 1 species
GGCUUAAAGGAGAAGGAAGAUGAUGAGAAAAAGUGAGUGAGAAGAAAGAAGAGGAGGAAGAAAGAGAAACUACCGGCAAGGAAGGACGAAGGUAGAGAAGGAGGAGAUGGGGAAGGAGAGACGGGCAGGCUUGGAAGAGAAGAAAAAGGGGGAGAGGAGAAAGGGGAGGAAGGAGAGAUGGACGGAGAUAAAGAGAGCCACUAUAGAGGAAGAGGGCUCACAAAUGAGCUUGAAGGAAGAGAAAGAAGAGGAGAAAGAUAAGGCAAAGGAGAAGUAGAUAAAAAGAAAGAGGAGGGGAAAGGGGGUCAUGGGUGAGUUUGGAGGAAGAAAAGAAUGAGAAAAAAAUGGAUGAAGAGGAAAGAGAGGAGGGAAAGUAGAGAUUGUCGG